rnacentral:rRNA from 1 species
UGGGGAAUAUUGGACAAUGGGCGCAAGCCUGAUCCAGCAAUGCCGCGUGUGUGAAGAAGGCCUUCGGGUUGUAAAGCACUUUUAUCAGGAGCGAAACGCUGUCGGCUAAUACCCGGCGGAACUGACGGUACCUGAGGAAUAAGCACCGGCUAACUUCGUGCCAGCAGCCGCGGUAAUACGAAGGGUGCAAGCGUUAAUCGGAAUUACUGGGCGUAAAGCGUGCGUAGGCGGUUUCUUAAGUCUGCUGUGAAAUCCCCGGGCUCAACCUGGGAAUGGCAGUGGAUACUGGGAGGCUAGAGUGUGUCAGAGGGUGGUGGAAUUCCCGGUGUAGCGGUGAAAUGCGUAGAGAUCGGGAGGAACAUCAGUGGCGAAGGCGGCCACCUGGGACAACACUGACGCUGAGGCACGAAAGCGUGGGGAGCAAACAGGAUUAGAUACCCUGGUAGUCCACGCCCUAAACGAUGCGAAGCUGGAUGUUGGUCUCAACUCGGAGAUCAGUGUCGAAGCUAACGCGUUAAGUUCGCCGCCUGGGGAGUACGGUCGCAAGACUGAAACUCAAAGG